GAGUUUGAUCAUGGCUCAGAUUGAACGCUGGCGGCAUGCCUUACACAUGCAAGUCGAACGGCAGCACGGGAGCUUGCUCCUGGUGGCGAGUGGCGAACGGGUGAGUAAUGCAUCGGAACGUAUCCUGGAGUGGGGGAUAACGUAGCGAAAGUUACGCUAAUACCGCAUAUUCUGUGAGCAGGAAAGCGGGGGACCUUCGGGCCUCGCGCUCUUGGAGCGGCCGAUGUCGGAUUAGCUAGUUGGUGAGGUAAAGGCUCACCAAGGCGACGAUCCGUAGCAGGUCUGAGAGGAUGAUCUGCACACUGGAACUGAGACACGGUCCAGACUCCUACGGAGGCAGCAGUGGGAAUUUUGGACAAUGGGGGCAACCCUGAUCCAGCCAUGCCGCGUGAGUG
rnacentral:rRNA from 1 species